rnacentral:rRNA from 1 species
AUUGAACGCUGGCGGCAGGCCUAACACAUGCAAGUCGAGCGGCAGCGCGGGGGCAACCCUGGCGGCGAGCGGCGAACGGGUGAGUAAUACAUGGGAAUCUGCCUGGUAGUGGGGGAUAACUCUGGGAAACUAGAGGUAAUACCGCAUACGUCCUACGGGAGAAAGGGGGGAUCUUCGGACCUCUCGCUAUCAGAGGAGCCCAUGUCCGAUUAGCUAGUUGGUGAGGUAAAGGCUCACCAAGGCGACGUAUCGGUAACUGGUCUGAGAGGAUGGUCAGUCACACUGGAACUGAGACACGGUCCAGACUCCUACGGGAGGCAGCAGUGGGGAAUAUUGGACAAUGGGGGGCAACCCUGAUCCAGCCAUGCCGCGUGUGUGAAGAAGGCC